rnacentral:lncRNA from 1 species
AACGGUUAAUAAUCUGGAAAUCAAGAAAUCACUGGGUAUGCUUUUGAGUGUGAUACAGGUUUUGGGUAUGAUUUCAAUAUGGUCCAUCUCAAGCUUCCUCAUGUGGUUAUCACCACCACCACCUUCCCAAAACCAGUCUUGAAGAAUAAUUGUUAUGUUUUCAGUUUCUAAAGUGUAUAAUAACUUCACCUUUUGAUAGGUUUAUUUACAUUUGAAAGAUAAAUGGUUAUGGUUCUAGAGGUGUUUAUAUCAAACAUGUUUUCUUGGAAUGUUGAGUGAAUUUUUUUAAAACUGCAACAUGUUUUUCUAUUUAUAGUAAAUGAAUUUUCUUCCUAAAAAUAGGAAUGGUCUAUUUAUGGUAACUCCAGCCUCCUUAUCUGAAAGAAAGUCCAUACUGUUAUGUUCAAAUUGCUUUAGUAUCAGGUUUUGGUCGGAUAAACUUGAUCCAAUCAGUCUAACGUUUCCUUCAGAGACCAUAAACCAAGAGAAGUCUCUCAAAAGAGAGCUUAUUUGCCUCUUGCUACUUCAGAAGACGAUCCAGAAACACUAAGUCAACCCGAAGAUACACCUCGAGAUGAUAGUUCAUCUAUCCAACACAAUGGAAACGGUGGCAAACCGGGUUUCAUUUCGUUUUACAACCCUCGGAACAAGGCAGAGGGUCUCCUUCUCCCUCCUGAAGAAGCACAGAGCACAUGGGGACGCCUCCUCUGGCUCAUUGGUCCUACUGUCUUAGUCUCCUCCUUCACUCUACCUCCCAUUUACUUGCGAAGAAUCGUCUCAGCUGUUUUUGAAGACUCUUUACUCACAGGUUACCUCUCUUUCCAUCCCUCUCCCUUUACUUCUCAACUUGACACAACUUUCUAUUUGCAGACUUCCUCAUAUUGUUCUUCACUGAGGCUCUCUUCUACUGUGGAGUCGCCGCUUUUCUUCUGAUAACACACCGUUCGAAAACGUCAUCCACCAGAACCAACCCUUCUCAGUUAGGACAAAGGAUCUCCUCCGUAGCAACGUUAGUGCUUAGUCUUAUGAUCCCAAUGGUGACAAUGGGAUUUGUAUGGCCAUGGACCGGUCCUGCAGCAUCAGCUACUCUUGCACCCUACCUCGUAGGCAUUGUCGUUCAGUUUGCUUUCGAACAGUACGCUAGAUACAGGAAGUCUCCAUCAUCUCUCACCAUCCCCAUCAUCUUUCAGGUAUGCAGCAAUGCAAUCUUCUUGCCAUAACAAAAUUUUCACUUUUGUAACGUUUUUUGAAAGGAUAUGUGUUUGGUUCUUUAGGUGUAUAGACUUCAUCAGCUGAAUAGAGCGGCACAGUUAGUGACAGCGUUGUUGUUCACGGUGAAAGGAGCAGAGGCAACGGUUAAUAAUCUGGAAAUCAAGAAAUCACUGGGUAUGCUUUUGAGUGUGAUACAGGUUUUGGGUAUGAUUUCAAUAUGGUCCAUCUCAAGCUUCCUCAUGUGGUUAUCACCACCACCACCUUCCCAAAACCAGUCUUGAAGAAUAAUUGUUAUGUUUUCAGUUUCUAAAGUGUAUAAUAACUUCACCUUUUGAUAGGUUUAUUUACAUUUGAAAGAUAAAUGGUUAUGGUUCUAGAGGUGUU